AUGAAGGAUGCUUUCUCCCAGCCCUCGGAGGGAUUUAAAGUUCUUUCUGCUUGUGCUGAGAUGGAAAGGAGGCGAAUGGGAAAGACUGCAAUUAAAAUGCCUUUUUUCCUUUGCUCUGUCUUUGGCAAAAUAUGUUCAAGGAAGAUGAGAAACUGUUCCAUUUCAGUGAAGGAAGCACUAACAAUAGAAGUCACAGGAGCUGCAGAAAAUUGGGUUAGAAAGCCCAAGAGUGACUGCCUUUCUUCUGGUUUAAAGGCAGGAUUGACUCGCCUUGCUGUGGCCACGACAGAUGCUUUUCUAAACUGCUCUUGGAAGAUCUUUGUGGCUGGAGAAUCCAGGUUCCCUAUGCGAGGGCAAUUCCAGUGUUUGUCUGUCCACUUUGCUUGGUUAGACAUCAGCAGUAGUUUCUGAGUUUCCUCUGCUGCUGUCCAAGCCCAUUGCUUGCUGUGGGUCCUGAAGACCUCUGUGAGGGGCUUUGAGAGCUGGAGGCGAGGAGAGGCAGGGACUGAGCGCCGCUGCUCUGAGUGAGGCUAGAGCCUGAGGACUAAGGACAACUUACCUGAAUUCCCCUCUUCAGCCCAUUUGUCCCAGACAAACGUCUCUGGCUGAGGUGGGCAGGCAGCUGCUCUUCGGGUUCAAGAGCAGGAAUAAGCUGAGUUGUCUGUCCCUGCUUGUUAAAGGUGGGUGCAACUGAGGGGGGUGUAACUUGGUCAGAAUUCAUCACCAAAGGUGCACGUGUGCACACAUGCAGGUAUGUGAGUCUCCUUAGAGGUCAGAACUACCCUACACAGCUAAAGUGCUUUGGUUACUUAGAAUAUGAGGAAUUAAAUCAAAUUAUCUCAUUUGUCUAGCUUUUCGGGGUUAGCAGACUAACCUUGUUAAUCUACAGAAAUAUAUACUAUUCCUCCAUAAUACUGUACAGUUUCCCUUUUUUAUUAUUAUUUUACCCGUUAGCUGUUCCUAUGUAUGUGUCAGGUGGGUUUGUCCUGCUGUAUUGGUGAAUUUGUUUCCUUUCUGAAACAAAAGUGCAACUGAUGUAAAUGAGUUCCUCAUUUUUCUUUUGGGCAAGAGCCAUCCCAGAGCUGGGGCUGAGCAGCUGCUGCUGCGUCACGUAACGAAAAUCACAGCCCUGCUCUUACAGCUACCCAGAUGAAACCUGCAGCAAAUUAAGGCAGCCCCCAGCCUCUUCAUGCCGUUGCUGCACUGCCAGGAACUGUUAGAUGAUGAAAUGGGAGGAUAAUGGACUCGUCCAGAGGUAUCCCCCACCCCAUCAAAACCCCACUCCUGAGACACGCCUGGAAGGUCAAGGCUGCAGCUCUGCGCUUCGGGAGAUACCUGUGAGCUGCGAGGGGAUUUCUGAAGGGGAGGAGCAAGCCCUUUGCUUAUACCAUCCUUUUCCCCGCUGCGUGAUGAAGAUCUCCCCUAAAUCUGCAUCGCUGUCCUGAAGGUCUGCGGCUCCCCCGGGAGGGACGCGCAGCUGCGGGGACAGCGGCAGUCACGCGCCGACUGGGAGAUGGACCUGAACGGGAUUGAUUGCUCUCGGGUUCAUCCUUUAAAACUGAGUGGCAGGCUAAGCUGUUGUUUCAAUCAAUAACAUAAAUACGCUGCUCGCCCAGCCCUGGGAAGGUGGGAACUCUGUGUGGGGGAGUAGGCAUUAAGGUUAUUUAUCGUCACAGGGCGCAGAAGUGAAAUACUGGGCUUCCCUGGCAGAUUAGAGAUUUAAAGCUCAUUUAAACCUACUUUUGGAAUCUAAUUAAACAGGGACAAAUUCCUCUGAACACCCUUGCUUUACUGCAAAAACAGCUUAUUCUUCAUCUAGGAAUUUAUAGCACUUUCGUUAACUCGACACAAAGGCCAAAUUUGCUUGAUAAUCAGGUAUAGGUUAUACCGCAAAACCUUAACGUCUCAUCUCGGCACUACUUCAUUAGGAUGGCCACAAAUAGCCCCGCCAGGGACGGGAGGAGCCCUGCAGCACUGAGCCUGAACGCAGCGUGGUAACUGUGCAGACAGAGCCUUUCCUCAGCCGCUGCUCACACCUACGGGAGGAGGUUUCUGUAGCUUGGAUCACGGCAGAUGGGUGGUGGCAGCUUUCACGGAGGAAACCUCACGCCUUAGCAGCAGAACUUGUAGCCAGAAUAAAUUCUGAGUGUGCUUGGAUGUGCCUCCCCA
rnacentral:lncRNA from 1 species